GUUUUUGUAUUUCCUGUUAUCCUGCAGUGUUUUGACCGCAAUAAUAAGUUGAAUGGAGAUUCUGUGAAAGCGGCAAUAUAACUGCAGAUAUGCCGACGGUUAAAGAUAUUUAGCACCCUCCGAAGAGGCACAAGCUCUUACGUUGGAUUUGGGGAUUUUUCAAUAAAUCUUAAACCAUCAGUCAAGUGUGAAACCAUCUUUCGGGGGAAUGCUACAACAGCGAUUCUUCCAACUCUUUCUUCAAGACUCAACUUGUAGUAAUCUUUUUUGCGUCAUGAGUCUCAAAAGCAUGCAGUCACCCGAGCUGGAGGCCCAAUGAAGGUGUGUGCAACUUGAAACGGCUGAGAAGAAUAGGAGCGUGAUUGGGUUUCUAAUAUGACGGCCGCACUUCCAAACUCACUUUCUCCACUUCGUUGAAGAAGCGCACAAGUCGAGACACCCGCACCAGACGUAUGAGGCUGAGGAUCCGAACAAACAUGAGGAUUCUCAUCAUUCUGUUUGCCUUGGAGGGGUUGUCCUCAUUAUUGUACUGUAAGUCCUGUGGCAAGAAAACACAGAAAACUCACUUUAUGGGUGAAUAAGAUUCACAAUGUUUUUCAUUCAUUAUAAUUCACUCCAGACCAGAUACGGUCAGUUUGUUCAAAUUGUACCGCAAAGAAGAGGAUGUAUCCGAUGGGGAAUGCUGCGAUCACAUCUGGUAUGAACCAACUCCUCAAAUAGCUUAUCCGGAUCUGCUUGAGGUCCAAAAUGGCGACCUGUCACACAGGACCAGGCAACAUAUGACAAAAAAGAAAAAAUGUAAUGACACGGUUAAAACAAUCUACGGUCCGUAGAUUUGUGUUUUAGAAUGUCUUGCUGAACUGCAAAUGAUAAUAUACUGAUCACACACACAAACACACAUACACACACACACACACACACACACACACACACACACACACACACACACACACACACACACACACACACACACUGACACAAACACACAGAACAC